UGGUGAACCAGCGGAGGGAUCAUUACCGAGUUUACAACUCCCAAACCCCUGUGAACAUACCAUUAUCGUUGCCUCGGCGGUGCCCGCUUCGGCGGCCCGCCAGAGGACCCAAACCCUUGAUUUUUAUAACAGUAUCUUCUGAGUAAAUGAUUAAAUCAAUCAAAACUUUCAACAACGGAUCUCUUGGCUCUGG
rnacentral:misc_RNA from 1 species